AUGGCCAUGAGAAGGAGUCCAAGAACUUGCUACUAUAAAUACUGCUGGCUAUAAGUGAUGAAGAUCUCUCAAGGCCAAGGUGCAUUCAAGAAAGAGAAAGAGAUCACAUUAUAAAGAUUGAUAAUUAAGAAAAGAUGGAGGAAGAUAAUGGUAAGAAAGAAGUGGAAGAUGGAUCUUCAGUUAGUGGAGGGAGUGGCUUUUGUGAUCCAUGCUCUUGGAUGAACUUCUUUAUAACUUCUUUUCUCAGCUGUUUUGGCCUGUUGGAUCAUCACAAUGAUUCUAAGGACCUUGAAAUUGGAGCAAGAAAUAUUAAUGCAAUGAUGGUAACAAGAAAAAGGCCAACUAAGCCUCCACCAAGCCCAGGAAGUGGUGGGAAAAUCAACAAAGUUCUUUAAUCAACUUGAAGAACAAAUUAAUAGUGUGGUUUGAUGGUUUUGUGAAUGGUGUUUUGUAGUUUGUGCUCUUUUUGGGAGGAUUAGUAGAUGAAUUAAAGUAGAUUUAAUUAAUUGCAUGUAAACUCAAGUCUCUGGUUUGGUUUUCCUUAAUUUGUUGGCCUCCUGUUUCUCCUUCCUGUAAUACUUGGCUUGAAAAUAAGUUUCAAGUUUUUCCUUUAUUUUUAUA